CCAGACUCCUACGGGAGGCAGCAGUGGGGAAUAUUGGGCAAUGGGCGCAAGCCUGACCCAGCAACGCCGCGUGAAGGAAGAAGGCUUUCGGGUUGUAAACUUCUUUUAAGGGGGAAGAGCAGAAGACGGUACCCCUUGAAUAAGCCACGGCUAACUACGUGCCAGCAGCCGCGGUAAUACGUAGGGAGCAAGCGUUAUCCGGAUUUAUUGGGUGUAAAGGGUGCGUAGACGGGAAGGCAAGUUGGUUGUGAAAUCCCUCGGCUUAACUGAGGAACUGCAACCAAAACUAUCUUUCUUGAGUGCUGGAGAGGAGAGUGGAAUUCCUAGUGUAGCGGUGAAAUGCGUAGAUAUUAGGAGGAACACCAGUGGCGAGGGCGGAUUGCUGGACAGUAACUGACGCUGAGGCGCGAAAGCGUGGGGAGCAAACAGGAUUAGAUACCCCGGUA
rnacentral:rRNA from 1 species